AGUGAACGCUGGCGGUAGGCUUAACACAUGCAAGUCGAGCGGCAGCACAGUAAGAGCUUGCUCUUACGGGUGGCGAGUGGCGGACGGGUGAGGAAUACAUCGGAAUCUACUUUUUCGUGGGGGAUAACGUAGGGAAACUUACGCUAAUACCGCAUACGACCUACGGGUGAAAGCAGGGGAUCUUCGGACCUUGCGCGAUUGAAUGAGCCGAUGUCGGAUUAGCUAGUUGGCGGGGUAAAGGCCCACCAAGGCGACGAUCCGUAGCUGGUCUGAGAGGAUGAUCAGCCACACUGGAACUGAGACACGGUCCAGACUCCUACGGGAGGCAGCAGUGGGGAAUAUUGGACAAUGGGCGCAAGCCUGAUCCAGCCAUACCGCGUGGGUGAAGAAGGCCUUCGGGUUGUAAAGCCCUUUUGUUGGGAAAGAAAAGCAGCAGGUUAAUACCCCGCUGUUCUGACGGUACCCAAAGAAUAAGCACCGGCUAACUUCGUG
rnacentral:rRNA from 1 species